rnacentral:rRNA from 1 species
CAGUAGCCGCGGUAAUACGAAGGGUGCAAGCGUUACUCGGAAUUACUGGGCGUAAAGCGUGCGUAGGCGGCUUCUUAAGUCGGAUGUGAAAUCCCUGAGCUUAACUUAGGAAUUGCAUUCGAUACUGGGAAGCUAGAGUAUGGGAGAGGAUGGUAGAAUUCCAGGUGUAGCGGUGAAAUGCGUAGAGAUCUGGAGGAAUACCGAUGGCGAAGGCAGCCAUCUGGCCUAAUACUGACGCUGAGGUACGAAAGCAUGGGGAGCAAACAGGAUUAGAUACCCCCGUAGUCCCUGUCUCUUAUAC